GGCCUAAUCCAAAAACAACUCAUAUAUAUAUAAACUGCGUUGUUAAGAGCUGUUGCAGUGAAGUUGAUGGGACCAAGUGUGCAGCAAAGAGUGAUUAUUUCCUCAGCUUUUGUCACACAUGCAAGAAGAAUCUUGAACAGAAGAUUGACUUUUACAUUUACAGAGGAGAGAAAGCUUUUUGCAGUCAGGAGUGCCGAUAUCAGGAAAUGAUCCUCCAUGGAGAGGAGAAUUAA